UACCAGCACCCCGAGUGGUCGGGACGUUUAUUGGGCCUAAAGAAUCCGUAGCCGGUUCUACAAGUCUUCCGUUAAAUCCACCUGCUCAACAGAUGGGCUGCGGAAGAUACUAUGGAGCUAGGAGGCGGGAGAGGCAAGCGGUACUCGAUGGGUAGGGGUAAAAUCCGUUGAUCCAUUGAAGACCACCAGUGGCGAAGGCGGCUUGCCAGAACGCGCUCGACGGUGAGGGAUGAAAGCUGGGGGAGCAAACCGG
rnacentral:rRNA from 1 species